rnacentral:lncRNA from 1 species
GAACAGAUAAAAUGUUUAAGCAAAUAGUACAGUCAAAAUUCUGUCUAUUGUUAAAACAUGUUGAUAAAUGUCUUAGCCGAUUGUUCAAGCAAGACGAACAUUUAUUGGAAUUUGAUAGGUUUGAAAAGAGAAGAGAAGAGAAGUAAAUAGAAUUUGAAAUCCCAGUAUUUCGUUAUUAAAACAAAAUCUUGAUUUUAAGACUGAGCAGAACAACCUUUUAUAUAAAGGGAAUAUUUUAUUUUGAGUAUCUUUGAU